rnacentral:rRNA from 1 species
GGGGAAUUUUGGACAAUGGGGGCAACCCUGAUCCAGCCAUUCCGCGUGAGUGAAGAAGGCCUUCGGGUUGUAAAGCUCUUUUGUCCGGAACGAAACGGGUAGCGUGAAUAUCGCUGCCUACUGACGGUACCGGAAGAAUAAGCACCGGCUAACUCCGUGCCAGCAGCCGCGGUAAUACGGAGGGUGCAAGCGUUGUCCGGAUUUAUUGGGUUUAAAGGGUGCGUAGGCGGCUUAUUAAGUCAGGGGUGAAAGACUAUUGCUUAACAAUGGCAGUGCCUUUGAUACUGAUAGGCUUGAGUACAGCUGAAGCAGAUGGAACGGGUGGUGUAGCGGUGAAAUGCAUAGAUACCAUCCAGAACACCGAUUGCGAAGGCAGUCUGCUAAACUGUAACUGACGCUGAGGCACGAAAGCGUGGGGAUCGAA